rnacentral:lncRNA from 1 species
CUGAGACUCGAGAUUCCAUGCACAAGGAUGGUCUUCAGAUUCUCAUGACCUCACUGCUAUUCGUAGCAAUACAAACAGACAGGGUAUAGGCAAAAUUAACAUCACACAAAACAUAAGCACAAACUACAUAAUAAUAUUCUAUGUGUCGCUACGAGAUCGUGGGUUCGAGAACCACUAAAUUCGAAGCUACGGUUAUGAAUAAGCCGAGGGGCUCGUUUGCAAUUGCGCUGGGUCGAAGGGGUAUCUGACGAUUUCGGCUGUUAGAUUCAAAAUCAAGGGCUCUUGUUAGAUCGUUAUUUAAAACGAAAUGGCAAGCAAUUGUGAUCGUAGGAUCGUGGAUCAGUGGUCCGAAAUUCACCCACGACACGUGUUGGCCCCAACCCUAGGAUCAUGGAGCAACGUCAUGGAUCAAAGGGGCCAGCCGAUAUCUACCAGAUCUAAUCACGUUCGUUCCUUCCACGAUCGACGGUCCCGAGUGCUUUCUUCCCCCAGCUAGCGCCCAGGUUGCGGCGCCCCGAUCCCCACGGCGCCGAGCAUCACACCGGCGCAGGCCAAUCUUGCUACCCUCCUGACCACUCCCCCAACCACUCGGUGAAAACAGAGCGAGCAUGAAGGCAAACAUCAGGGAACGUUUCUUACUAGCAAUCGAGGCAGUGUCUAGUCCGACCACGCAACAUGGCGGGUCCGCGGCGGCACAACACCGAUGGAAGUCCCCCAUUCCCUGGGACCGAACCCAAGUUCUACUGGUGGCAAUGCGCUUCAGAGAGUAUGGAGGAACUAUGGGGAGAGGACUCACCAAUCAUGGUUCUGUGGCGCAGCCGGUUCACAACGAUGAAUUUCUCUCUCACCCUACCUACACGGACGGCAAUGGUGCAAGGUUGGGGCGCAUCGUUUAGCUCUUUUUAACAUAAGGAGGCAUAGGAGGCUCGUAUAUAUAUUCUCAACACUGAGAGCUCCAACAAAAUUCGU